AUUGAACGCUGGCGGCAUGCCUUACACAUGCAAGUCGAACGGCAGCACAGGUGCUUGCACCUGGUGGCGAGUGGCGAACGGGUGAGUAAUACAUCGGAACGUACCUUAUCGUGGGGGAUAACGCAGCGAAAGCUGUGCUAAUACCGCAUACGCCCUGAGGGGGAGAGCGGGGGAUCGCAAGACCUCGCGCGAUUAGAGCGGCCGAUGCCUGAUUAGCUAGUUGGUGGGGUAAAAGCCCACCAAGGCGACGAUCAGUAGCUGGUCUGAGAGGACGAUCAGCCACACUGGGACUGAGACACGGCCCAGACUCCUACGGGAGGCAGCAGUGGGGAAUUUUGGACAAUGGGGGCAACCCUGAUCCAGCAAUGCCGCGUGAGUGAGGAAGGCCUUCGGGUUGUAAAGCUCUUUUGUCAGGGAAGAAACACCGGCUCUAACACAGUCCGGGAAUGACGGUACCUGAAGAAUAAGCACCGGCUAACUACGUGCCAGCCGCCGCCGUAA
rnacentral:rRNA from 1 species